rnacentral:lncRNA from 1 species
AACUGCUCACUGCCAUGCUAUUAGCUACGUUAAUGGUUUUGUCAAAUAAAUGGAAUGUAAAAUUUUAAAAAAAGUCUAAAAGUCAGGCUUUGCAAGAAUUUAAAGAAAAAAUGAAUUCCUAAUUUCAACAUUAACAGAAGAAAACUUUAAACUUAUUCCCACAAAGGGCAGACAUGAAUUCUCACAAUACAUCCUUGGAGGUGACUGCAAACAUUAUAUAGGUUUGGACCCAAAUACUGGAAUUCUUUACUCAUUAAAAUUUGCAAUUGAUAAAACAGAUUUGGGUUAAAAGAGAAAAGGAGAAAGGAAGAAACAAAGAAAAGCCAGUUUUCAAAUUGUCUUCAAUUCUGGUAUCUACAUGUCAAGACAUAAACAGAUGCUGGAUAAGGUCCAAAGAAACUAAAGUGAUCACAAAAUCAUUGAUUGCUGUAUGAGAAUCCAAACAACAGGAUUUCAUUCCCUGUGCUGAGCCUCCUUUCAGUUUCCUCUUCCUACCUAUGUCUCAGCUGAAAACUUAAGACCACUCACCCUACAGCCAAUGGUUCCACCUUCUGCAGCUGUCGUCUAAAUUCCAAAUGCAGCCAUGUCAAGGCACCUGCACAUGGCAGCUGUAAAAGAAACACUGGCACUUUACUGCUGAGAGGAAAGGUAGUGCCAUUUUUUGAGCAUCGGUUCCCUCCCAGAGAGGAUGACAGCUGGCAACUCUGUCCUACAGAAAAUAGGAAAGCAAGAGAAACAUAUACAGAAAUGCCUACAUAUGAUGUCACUCGGUAGCCACAGC